CCAGCUUUCCAUCACAUGUUAAGUGGGGACAAGUCAAAACUUGUCUUAAUAUGAUGAAGGAUGUUGCACGAUCUUUGUGGCGUACUGUUCAAUGAGACGGUUCUACAAUAGAAUAUGGUUUAAAGAAAGAAGUCACUUAUUUAUCAAUGCUGAAAUGAUUAAAAACUCCCUACGGGCUUACAGUAGUAUAUUCACUUACAGGAAGGAUUCAUGAGUCAAAGGAGAAGAAGCCGGUGGACUAGAUGUUAGCUCUUCGUAUUUGAACAAGUCGCUUAAGCUGUCUGAUCUUCAGUUUCCUUCAUCUUGAAAAAUCGGAAAGUGGCAUCUACUUGGUGGGUUUUGAGGACUUGCCCAAGGUCAUACAGCCAAGAAGAUGAGCCAGUACAUCCCCACGGUGUUUUCGAGCUGAGAAUCCAAGCCAGGACCUACCUUGCUCACAAAAAGGACAGAUUUCAAGUUUGGAGGCCGUGGUGAAGUCCUCACGCCUGCCCAAGGUGACAGAACAAAGCCUCGUGUCGUUUCCUCUGUGCAGUAGCCAAUUAAGGACAGAGAGUGCUUUAGGGUGUAUGCACUCAUUCAUUCACUUGACAAAUAUCUAGUGGUAGCAAGUGGUAGAGAUAAAGAGAGGACUAAGACUCCGAGUCAGGGCAGAGAAAGAUCACAUACAAGGUACAGGGGAUUUCCAGCAUCCUUUCCAAGCUAGUUGCUGCAUCAAGGGAAGAGCACGUGUUGGCAAGCGACGACAUUAGAGAAGUAGGCGGAGGCCACAUCGUGGAGGACUUUGCGGGCUUGAGUUGGGUUCCACAGAAGCAAUCCCUAAGACCGGGAUUCAGAUGCCAGUGAUUCCUUAAGAAGUGCUCCUUAUAGAAGCAGCAAUGGAAAAGGAAGCACGUGAAGAAGGAGGAGGAAGAAGAGGAGAGACAGGAGGCGAGGAGGAGGAGGGAGAGGGAGGAGAAGACUUCCCAAUGGAAAACAGCAUUUGCAAACCAUAUAUCUGAUAAAAGAGGUUCAUAUCCAAAGGAUACUUUUUAAAAGGCUCCUAUAACUCAACAGCAAAACAAACACAAAGCGUCUAAUUUUAGACGCUCUUAAGCCAAAGAGCUGAAUAGACGUCCGUCGAAGGAAGGUAUAUGAAUGGCCAACGUGUGCUUGAAAAGAUGCUCAACAUCACCCAUGUUAGAGAAAUGCAGAUCAGAAGCACAGUGAGCUAUCGCGUGCCUGCUGCAAUGGCCAUCAUCACAAAGUCAAGAGAUAACCGAUGCUGGUGAGGAUGUGGAGAAGAGGCAACACCAUGCACCACGGGUGGGAAUGGAAGCUGGUCCAGCCACGACGGGAAACAGGAUGGAGGGUCCUCCGAAGGUUACAAAUGCACCUACCACGUGAACCAGCAAUGCCACUUUUGGGUCUAUAGCCAAAGGAGUUGAAAACGGGAUCUCGAAGAGAUAUUUGCACCCCGUGCUCACUGCAGCAUGACUUUCAGUAAUUGAGACAGGGUAGCAACGUGAGUGUCCAUCGACAGAGGAAUGAAUGAAGAAGAUGUGCUCUCUCCUCUUGGAUCAUUUGCUUUGGGAAAAGACAGCUGCCACGUCGUGUGAGCAGCCCUAUAGAGAGGCCCAUCUGGCAAGAAACCGAAGCCUCCUACCAACAGCCAUGUGAGUGAUCUUGGAAGCAGACCCUCCGUCCCCAUCAGACAACUGCAGCCCCUGCUGACAACCCGCCUGCAGCCAGGGUUUGGCCAUGACUAUAACUGUGUAACGCACAGACGUGGAUCGAUUACUGAUACAGCCAACACACUUCCAAGGCUCAGAACUACAAUGAGCUUCUGAAGAUGAGGCAAUAACUUCCAGAGCAUGGAAGACAGAAAAGAUCCAGCGUUCGAUGGUGGCAAGGUGCAGAAGCGAUCUGUUUUGAAAGCUUAUUCUGCCAAUUACUGGUCAGUGCGUAUGGCAUCCAUCCAUUCGUUCAAUCUCUCUGCCGUUCAAUGCCUUUACCUGGGAAGUGGAGGUGAUUUUCUAUGCUCCAUAGGGCUCUCAUGGAGAUUGUGUGACAUCACAGAUUAUUAUUGUGACUUUGCCAAGUGGCUUGCUGUGGCCGGAGGAAUGUAGUUGGAAAUGACACCCCAUGAAUUCUGAGCCCAGGCUUUAAAGGCAUUGUGUGUUUUUGCUGGCUCCUCAGGGAGCCACUCUUCUGCCUCCCAGGUGCCCUGGGCCCCAGAACGGGAGCAGAGUGACCCCAGGUGACAUGAGCCAGACCUGAAGCCUGGCCAAGCCCAGGAGCACGCCGCUGAACCCUAGCUGAGCUGCAGGCGUGGGAAUGAGAAGUAAUUGCCUACUGCUUUCGGCCACUGAUACUUUGUAAUUGUUUGUUAUGUGACAACAGCUAACUGAUACAGCCACGGAGAGAUGAAUCAAAGACACAAUGAGCUUUCAGCCCAGGCAUGUGUGAGACAGAGGAGGGAGGGUCACGCUCUGGGAGAAACUCAUCGUGUGAUCGUUGAGCAGUGCACUUUGUCUAUCUGGUUCUUGUUUCUUCUAAUGUGAGGAGAUUAUAUACUCAUUGUAGAUGGCCCCAUAUAAUCGCAGUUCUAGGUAAAAACUUUCUGUAUCUAUAGACUUACUGUCCUAUGUGUAUAGACCAAUCUGUAAUAUUUGUUCAGAAACGAGAAGCCUGAAAGGGCCCCGCUGACUUCAGUAAAAUGACAAACAACACGGAUACGUUGAAUAGGACCUUGUUUCUAAAUUCCUGCAACAGUAUGGAGAAGGACCCUCAGCCUUGGAAGAAUUAGCUUUAAGGCCAAUGAAGGGAGCUAGUUGUAUAAGAAAGUUUGAGACUUCUUUCUCACAAAGUUAUCCCAAAGUGAUAGCACAAGCCAAUUAUAUAAACUUUUAGCUUUAGAGAAGAUUUAAAGCCCAGGGGCCAUGGAUGAAUUUCAUCAGCUAGUAUAGUAUGCUUUAAAAAGAAGUUACUUGACAACGUGGAAGGAUGGAGGCGAUUACAUACACAUACAUUUCCAUAAAAAUACAAUUUCUUUUGUAACAUUCCAAGAUCUGACAACACAGAUCUUCUAGUAAAGCAAAAAACAGCCAUUUGGAGCACGAGUGAGAGCUUUCUCCUUUUGAUAGGAGUUAACAUUUCUUUCUUUAAAGAAAAAUAAAAAGUUUACUUUUGAGAGAGAGAGAGAGCGUGCAUGAACAUAAGCAGGGGAGGGGCAGAGAGAGAGAGAGAGGGAGAGAGAGAAUCCCAAGCAGGUUCCACGCUGUCAGCAUGGAGCCUGACGUGGAGUUUGAACCCACGAAUUGCGAGACCAUGACCUGAGCUGAAGUCAAGAGUUGGCCACUCAACCGACUGCACCACCCAGGCGGCCGGGACUUUACAUUUCUGAUUUACCCCAGUGCUCAUCUGACCAGCACUAUCUGCCUUGCCCCCAAAACCCGUGGAGUUUAUUAUCCUUGGUUUUGACAAACCCUAAUGACUGAUCCUAAACUGGUCUAGAUACAGAGGUCUUGAUUACGUGAAAAUCACCAUCCAUAGUUUUAAAUUGUCGUCAUGAAAAGUAACUAGAUCCUUUCUCAAGGAGCUCUGUGGUGUGUCCAUCCCGGCAACUCAGAGACCUACUUUUCUAGAUACUUUAUAGAGAACAAGUUUGCUCGGGGUCUUCUUUCAAUGGUUGGAUGUUGAAAGGGUAGUUGAACCCUGAACCCGUCUUCUCAUCUCCUGCCUUGUUCCUUCUCCUUUAUUCCACAUUUCGGUCAAUAGUGUCACCCAUUCACUCAGACUAGACACCUACAGAUCCGAUUUUCUUCUUUCCUUCACACCCAAGCUAAUUCACACCCAAGUUACAACUUCUCUGUAAUCUCUUGUGUCAAUCCCUCUUUAUUCUGUUCACCUGGCCACUGCUUUAGCACAAAUUGUAGCUGGAUUAUUGUAAAUAAUAAUAAUAAUAAUAAUAACCCCCAAACUAAUUGGUAUGUCUGAUGACUUCGUGUAUCCAUCAAUGGGUAUAAUUGUUAUAUCUUCGUGUACCCAUCGCCCCACACAACUCCAUCCUAUAAUAGAAUGAGAUUUCUCAACAUGCAUCAUCUGUUCAUGUCGCCCUCCUUUUAAAAACUUUUCAGUAACUGAUUUGUCAUUGGCCGUAAACUCCUCAAUGCAAGAAGCUCCAAAAUUGAGUGCUAUCUUUCCUCUUAAAUCUUAUUAUCUCUUGCUACCUUUUGCCGCAAAUCCUAUGUCAUGACCAUUCUGACACAGUUGCAAAAUAAACUCUUCAAAUGUACGGCUCCUUUUUUGUUUGUUUGUUUGUUUUUUCUGGUCCCCCUGCCCGGAAUGGUCCACUUUCCAUGGCAGUCAUGAAAACUGCUACUCAUAUAUAAAGUAUCAGAUCGGGGCGCCUGGGUGGCUCAGUCGGUUGAGCAUCAGACUUCACCUCAGGUCAUAUCACAGUUCGUGUAUUCGAGCCCCACAUUGGGCUCUGUGCUGACAGCUCAGAGCCUGGAACCUGUUUCGGAUUCUGUGUCUCCUUCUCUCUCUGCUCCUCCCCCACUCAUGCUCUGUCUCCCUCUCCUCUCUCAAAAAUAAAUAAACAUUUAAAAAAUUUUAAUGAUAAAAAAUAAAUAAUAAAUACAUAGAGUAUCGGCUCAAUUAUCUCCUUUCCUUUGGAAUCGUUUCUAGUUUUCCUCAACCAUAAGUCAGAUUUAAUUAUAUCAUUCCCUCCCCACUUCUCCAAUUGCUAAUUUUAAUUUUCUCUAUUAGAAGACUUAUCUGAUGGGCAUAAUUGUUUAUAUGUUUCCCUGCCACAUUGUUGACUUCUGGGAGACAAGAUUAGGUCUCAAUUACUCACUGUGGUGCCACCGUCCAUGACAGUGCUGAGCACAUCGUAGGUAUCAGUAAAUGGUUGCUUGAAGAAGGAAUGAAUGAAUUACAAAUGGACCUUUCCGUGUCUCUUCAAUGAGAUGGAAGGCUAUGAAAAAGAAUAAAUUCCCAACAGCAUGAGAAAGAAGAAAGACAGCCAUGCACUGACACGGAAAUCAGCGCAUUCCUGAUACAUGGGAAACAGAUAUGAUCAGAUUCACAGAGAAACAGAACCAGAGGAAACAGCUCACAACAUACGGGGGAGUGGACUGUGGCUAAGUAGAGGCAAUUUAAGAAAAACUCCAAUCCUAGAGCCAAUAAAAUGGUAAGGACCUCGGGAGAACUCACUGAGCUCUCUUCAGCUCUUACAUGCAUGAUGCCAUAUCUCUUUUUCAUUUUUAUUGGUAAUAUUUUAUUGGUACUAUUUCUUAUUUCAUUGGUGAGAUUGGGGAUAAGAAUUCAGAAUUUCCAAAUUCGUCAUCAGUUAUCCAUAACUGUCACAGGCAGAAACAUGCAGACAAAACAGAA